rnacentral:rRNA from 1 species
GAGCGCUAAUACCGCAUACGUCGUACGGGAGAAAGCAGGGGAUCAGUAAUGACCUUGCGCUAAUAGAUGAGCCUAAGUCGGAUUAGCUAGUUGGUGGGGUAAAGGCCUACCAAGGCGACGAUCUGUAGCGGGUCUGAGAGGAUGAUCCGCCACACUGGGACUGAGACACGGCCCAGACUCCUACGGGAGGCAGCAGUGGGGAAUAUUGGACAAUGGGGGGAACCCUGAUCCAGCCAUGCCGCGUGUGUGAAGAAGGCCUUUUGGUUGUAAAGCACUUUAAGCGAGGAGGAGGCUCUUCCAGUUAAUACCUGGGAUGAGUGGACGUUACUCGCAGAAUAAGCACCGGCUAACUCUGUGCCAGCAGCCGCGGUAAUACAGAGGGUGCGAGCGUUAAUCGGAUUUACUGGGCGUAAAGCGUGCGUAGGCGGCUUCGUAAGUUGGAUGUGAAAUCCCCGAGCUUAACUUGGGAAUUGCAUUCAAAACUGUGAAGCUAGAGUAUGGGAGAGGAUGGUAGAAUUCCAGGUGUAGCGGUGAAAUGCGUAGAGAUCUGGAGGAAUACCGAUGGCGAAGGCAGCCAUCUGGCCUAAUACUGACGCUGAGGUACGAAAGCAUGGGGAGCAAACAGGAUUAGAUACCCUGGUAGUCCAUGCCGUAAACGAUGUCUACUAGCCGUUGGGGUCUUUGAGACUUUAGUGGCGCAGCUAACGCGAUAAGUAGACCGCCUGGGGAGUACGGUCGCAAGACUAAAACUUAAAUGAAUUGACGG